rnacentral:rRNA from 1 species
UACAGAGGUCCCAAGCGUUGUUCGGAUUCAUUGGGCGUAAAGGGUGCGUAGGCGGCGCGGUAAGUCGGGUGUGAAAUUUCGGAGCUUAACUCCGAAACUGCAUUCGAUACUGCGGUGCUUGAGGACUGGAGAGGAGACUGGAAUUCAUGGUGUAGCAGUGAAAUGCGUAGAGAUCAUGAGGAAGACCAGUGGCGAAGGCGGGUCUCUGGACAGUUCCUGACACUGAGACACGAAGGCCAGGGGAGCAAAC